AUGAGGCUCUCUGUGCUGCUGGCUCUCGCCGGCGCCGCCCUGCUCCUGCUCGGCGUGGCCAGCGGGCAGCAGCAGCAGGCCGGCAGCGUGCCGUCGACCAUCACGCGGGAGGCGUUCGAUUCCAUGCUGAGCGGCCGCAACAUGAGCGGGUGCGAGGGAGGCGCCUUCUACACCUACGACGCGUUCCUGGAGGCGGCCAACGCGAGCGUGUUCCGUGGCUUCGGCACCACCGGCGACGACGCGACCCGCCGGCGGGAGUUCGCCGCCUUCUUCGGGCAGACCUCCUUCGUAACCACCGGCUACUGCUACGUGAAGGCGGUGAACCGGGCGAGCGCGCCCUACUACGGCCGAGGCCCCAUACAGCUAACCACCGAGGACAACUACCGGCAGGCAGGGAGGGUGCUGGGGCUGGACCUGCUGCGCAACCCGGACCUCGUGUCCACAGACCCCGCCGUCGCCUUCAAGACGGCCAUCUGGUUCUGGAUGACGGCGGCGGCUCCGAGCCCGUCGUGCCACGCCGUGAUGACCGGCGGCUGGACGCCGUCCGCCCAAGACCGCCACGCGGGGCUGCUCCCCGGGUACGGCAUGACCACAUACAUCCUCAACGGCGGGACGGAGUGCAACGAGACCUCCGCGGCGGCCCAGGACAGGGUCAACAACUACUACAAGAAGUACUGCGACAUCCUCCAAGUGGGGUAUGGUAACAACACCUUCUGUCAGAAGGACGAGCUAGCUCAGCCACCAUCGUCGUCUCUGCAUCCUCCUCCAGAAACGUCGGGAGAACCUUCGCCUCCGCCUCCGUCAAGGGCGGUUCUGAUCGGCGUCUCUAGUUCAAUCUCCCUCUUGAUCAUUAUCGGCUCCUUGAUCGGUUUCCUUUUAUGGCGGCGGCGACGGCGAAAGCAAGGUGAAAUCCACGAGGAAGCAAUGGAGCAUUGGUCAGAAGAGGAUAACUUCUUCGACAUUGACCAGGCCAUGGAAGACGAUUUCGAGAAAGGCUCCGGGCCCAGGCGGUUUCGUUACAAGGAUCUGGUCGUCGCCACCGGCAAUUUCUGUGAUGAGAACAAGCUCGGACAAGGAGGCUUUGGCUCCGUGUACAGAGGGUUUCUGAAUGAAUUGAACCUUCAAGUUGCUAUCAAGAGGAUCUCCAAGGACUCCAAGCAGGGGAGGAAGGAGUACGCCUCUGAGGUGAGGGUCAUAAGCCGGCUCCGGCACAAGAACCUCGUGCAGCUCAUCGGCUGGUGCCACGAAGGCGGCAAUCUGCUCCUCGUCUACGAGUUGAUGCCCAAUGGCAGCCUCGACGGGCAUCUGUACGACGCCAAUAACGUCGUGCUCCCAUGGCCCUUAAGACAUGAGAUUCUGCUCGGACUAGGCUCGGCGCUUCUCUACCUACACCAGGACUGGGACCAAUGCGUCCUGCAUAGGGACAUCAAGCCAAGCAACAUUAUGCUAGACUCGUCGUUCAAGGCAAAGCUCGGUGACUUCGGGCUCGCCAAGCUCGUCCAACAUGGCCGAAGAUCACUGACAACAGAUUUCGCAGGCACGAUGGGGUACAUGGAUCCAGAGUGCAUGACCACUGGCAAGACCAACCCCGAGUCAGAUGUAUACAGCUUCGGUGUCGUCCUCCUCGAGACUGCUUGCGGCAGGCGGCCUGUGGUGGUACCCCAGCCGGAGGAGGAUGACGCGGUCCACCUAGCUCAGUGGGUCUGGGAUCUGUAUGGCAAGGGGAGGAUUCUAGACGCCGCCGACCAGCGAUUGGGUGGAAAGUUUGAUGCCCAGGAGAUGGAGCGUGUGAUGAUUGUUGGGCUCUGGUGUUCUCAGCUCGACUUCAAAAUGAGACCGUCUAUCAGGCAGGCUGUAAACGUGUUGCGGUCAGAGGCGUCGCUCCCGAGUCUCCCCACGCUGAUGCCGAUUGCAUAUUACAUGCCGCCGGUUGGCACACGAAGAUUUACAUCUUCAUCUGCAACAAAACGGCAGCAGCAGUGGCACUUCUACAUCAUCAAUGGGAGCAUCAGCGCGGCCACCACUCAGUCAAGAUUGAUUGUAGGUAGAAUUUUUCUAUGA
rnacentral:rRNA from 1 species